UUCCGGUUGAUCCUGCCRGACCCGACUGCUAUCAGAGUAGGACUAAGCCAUGCGAGUCAACGCCGCAAGGCGUGGCAUACGGCUCAGUAACACGUAGUCAACAUGCCCAAAGGACGUGGAUAACCUCGGGAAACUGAGGAUAAACCGCGAUAGGCCAAGGUUUCUGGAAUGAUCCCUGGCCGAAAUCUAUAUGGCCUUUGGAUUGGACUGCGGCCGAUCAGGCUGUUGGUGAGGUAAUGGCCCACCAAACCUGUAACCGGUACGGGCUUUGAGAGAAGGAGCCCGGAGAUGGGCACUGAGACAAGGGCCCAGGCCCUAUGGGGCGCAGCAGGCGCGAAACCUCUGCAAUAGGCGAAAGCCUGACAGGGUUACUCUGAGUGAUGCCCGCUAAGGGUAUCUUUUGGCACCUCUAAAAAUGGUGCAGAAUAAGGGGUGGGCAAGUCUGGUGUCAGCCGCCGCGGUAAUACCAGCACCCCGAGUUGUCGGGACGAUUAUUGGGCCUAAAGCAUCCGUAGCCUGUUCUGCAAGUCCUCCGUUAAAUCCACCUGCUCAACGGAUGGGCCGCGGAGGAUACCGCAGAGCUAGGAGGCGGGAGAGGCAAACGGUACUCAGUGGGUAGGGGUAAAAUCCAUUGAUCUACUGAAGACCACCAGUGGCGAAGGCGGUUUGCCAGAACGCGCUCGACGGUGAGGGAUGAAAGCUGGGGGAGCAAACCGGAUUAGAUACCCGGGUAGUCCCAGCUGUAAACGAUGCAGACUCGGUGAUGGGUUGGCCUCGAGCCAACCCAGUGCCGCAGGGAAGCCGUUAAGUCUGCCGCCUGGGGAGUACGGUCGCAAGACUGAAACUUAAAAGAAUUGGCGGGGGAGCACCACAAGGGGUGAAGCCUGCGGUUCAAUUGGAUUCAACGCCGGA
rnacentral:rRNA from 1 species